AGUGCUUAUGGACAGAGAGAGAAGGCUGGACCAUGAGUUCUCCUCUGUGUACUUUGGUGUGAGUUCUGGCAGUAUAGCAGCAAGUAUGGCACUGGACAAGCGUCAAGGAAGGGACACAGGAAUUCUCACCUCUGUUGUUCCAUGGCAACAGAGGGGCAGUGCGACACAACGAUGUCUGACAUGGAAGUGCGUACGAAGUAAAGUAGACAGUGUUUCCCAGAGAAGUCUGAUAUCGAUAACACUUAAGAAGCUUUGAAAGUUUGGAUAUAAUUCAGGGAUCAUGGACGGUAUCAACAGCCAGACUUGUUAUAAGCUUGCAGAGCAAGUGGAGAUGGUGAAUCAAAAUCUCUUACAUAUUCAAAGGCAUGCUCAUCAGAGAGUUGGAUCAAAGCAUUUUGAUUCCUCAUCUUUCAGAAGAAGAGUAGACACGAGGUGAUGGGAGGCAUUCUUAGACGCAGCUCCGGAGUCCUUCGCAAUUUGCCUGUGAGAACACAGCCUGUUCUGGGCCCAACCUUGAGAGAGAAAGUGUUUGUGAAAUGGGUGGAUUUCUAGAAGUACCUCAGAUCCUGCCAUUACAACAUUUUAGGUGUCAAAGGCAAGGAUGGAUAAAUGUGAAGAAGCUUUGAAAAGCGCCAUUUCAGACACUGAAGAUGCAAUGCCCUAUUGAGUGAAUAAUCCACUCAAGAAAUGUGGAAGGUAUUUUGUCAACAGCUGGAGUUGAUUCAACAUGGGUUUAACAGGGAGUAGAGGUCAGCAAAUGCUAACUAUGUUUAAGUGGGGAUGUGAAAAUGAGUAUAAUUAAUCUUUUUUUUUUUUUAAUAUAAAUCACCUGGUUAAAGCAAGAGAAUUGGAGGGUAAUUUUGCAAGAUCAGAAGCUAAGCUAAGUGAAAAUUAGGAGAGCAUGUGAAAAAUAUGAAUUUUGAAUUGCGAAGAAUAUUUUGGUAGCAGCAGAACACACCGUGAAGCUAACGUGAGCCCUAGCUGCAGUCUGAGCAGAGUGGAGAACUGACACACUUAUUCUGGACUGACACUCGGGGCAUCACAGAAGCUGCUUGUCUACCAGUGGGGGAGAAGUGGCAUCCUGCAAACAUCGUCCUGAUGUGUUGCUUCAAAACCAGUGCAACAGAGCAAACCUUCAC
ensembl:lncRNA